rnacentral:lncRNA from 1 species
AUGCCCAGCUGUAGGUAUGGUUUACUAGCUGAAAGUCACAUGCGAGUGGCACACAGUAUCAUCACAACCACAGGCAGUUCCUGCCUCUCUCACAAGUUCACUUGCUUCCUGCCUGCCUCCAGUAAUGGUGCACAAUGCCGCAAAGAAAGAGCGUACACCAGUGCAGAUAGCAAGAGCUCCAGCCCAGGAUACAUUCUGCUACCACCCUUUUUAAUUACUGUUUGGAGUUCAAGGCUGCACAGAUUACCUCCACCCACACAAGGCUCAGAGAGAUGCUGCAUAACCUGACAAGCUACGUUACAGAACUGCUGGACAAAUGAAAGUCAGCUGGAUGUUUUAAAACUUAAAAUCUUGUCUUCUACUAAAUGAGUGGGAAACACGCUGAAACCACAAUCAACUUUUCCUGUGGUUGACAAUUGCAAAAGCCCUCUUUCUGCUCCUCACUAUUGACUCACACACCAUUGCAUCCCCAAGAGACUGCGUACUCUAAAACAAGGAAUGAGUAAUCAGGAAAAAGAUGUUUCCCCUCUUCAAAGUAUUUACUAAAGCAUUCAUCUUUUCAAAACUUCCAAACUAAUAUUUGUUUGGGUUAUAAAACUUAAGGCAACAAUAUUGACAGUGUCCAUGUAAUCUAAACACAUACAAUGUAAAUACACCUUCAAAAAAAACAGAUCAGCUCAUGGAUAUUUCUUCCAACAUGGAGCAAGGUUGGUUUUCUCACUUUAGUUGUCUGAGAGCAGAAUAACACCAAAGCCCAGAAAGAAAUGUCUGAUUAUUAGACUUGUCUUGAAGGAGAAGACACAUAUUCUUGGGAUGGGACAUUUUUUAACCUAUUCAAGACAUCUUUUUAGUGAGUUGAUACCACAAGAACUGGCAACGAUAUCAGAAAAGGCAUACUGAAGGGCACACCUGAAAAAUAACGCACUGGGUCUGACUGCCAUUUUCUUCACUGCUGAAGAAAGCAGCAAAAUAGUAGUUGUAAUAAAACAAAUUUUGAAGAGAAAUAUAUUAUGAUG